rnacentral:tRNA from 1 species
ACUAAAAUGGCUGAACAUUAGGUGAUAAAUUGUAAAUUUAUUUAUGAAUAUAAUAAUUCUUUUAGUA